rnacentral:rRNA from 1 species
CAGAGAGUGUGUGCCAGCCGCCGCGGUAAUACGGAGGAUGCGAGCGUUAUCCGGAUUUAUUGGGUUUAAAGGGAGCGCAGACGGGAGAUUAAGUCAGUUGUGAAAGUUUGCGGCUCAACCGUAAAAUUGCAGUUGAUACUGGUUUCCUUGAGUGCAGUUGAGGCAGGCGGAAUUCGUGGUGUAGCGGUGAAAUGCUUAGAUAUCACGAAGAACCCCGAUUGCGAAGGCAGCUUGCUAAACUGUAACUGACGUUCAUGCUCGAAAGUGUGGGUAUCAAACAGG